CUCGGCCCGCGCCUGCCCUCGCCGGGCACUUUCUCGCCCGCCCUCUCCUGCGCGCCCUGGCCCCACUCGCGCGGGCUCUCUCUUUUUCCCGUUGCACCAGCGUCGGGAUGAAGUCGGGAGCAAAGCCCUUCCCGGGGCGGUCCAGCGUUCACCUUCGGCGAGCACCUAAGGGAGAGCCCGAGUGGCCAGAAUCCGAAGUCACCAUUAGACACUCUCUCUGCGCUCUUGGACACCUCCAGAGAAAAAGCCAGCACAUCCUGCCUUGGCUGGAAAAGCCAGCCUUCCACCCAGCGCCCCUAAAAUGAUCGGGUUGACUCCAGUUUUGUUACGAAAGGAGGCCGGGCUGCUGAGAGGCUCCCUGAGUUCCCUUCGUGGUCGCCCGUCACAUUGCCCUGCUGUAUACUUAAUAAAGCCCGUGUUUAUCUUUCUCUUUAGAACCCCCUCUAAGCAGACCCAUCGCUUUAUUGCUUUAAAACAUACACUAAGUGGUGAGUGGAGCUGGGGCGAGGGAGGUGCGGAGAAACUUUCUGCCACAUGUUGACAUUACAGAUGGCUACUCAGACGCACUAGUCCACCAAAAGCAAUCGAACACUGGCCGGGCAGUGCUUGCAGCUUUUCAGUUUGCCCUCCUGAGGA
rnacentral:lncRNA from 1 species